GUUAAGAUUGUCAUGCUGAAUGUUGCUACCGGUCGGUGGAUUGGGGAUGAAUUCCACCAUGGAUGACAUGAACUUGAUCCAGCAAAGGCAUCACUUGGUGGUUAGGGAGCUUGGAGAAGAGAUUGAUUUGGAAAUUGGGCCUGGGGAUGAUGAUCCAUCAUUUGCAAAUACUCCUCUCAUUGGUGGCCCUCCACGGGAACCUUCUGCUGAAGAGCAUGAUGAGAGCAAGCAGGUUGUAAUGGUAUCUCAACUCUCAAGUGAAGACCAGGAUGCGUCGAAGAUGCAACCAGUGAAAAGGAAGAAGAAG
rnacentral:lncRNA from 1 species